rnacentral:rRNA from 1 species
UGGGGAAUCUUGGACAAUGGGGGAAACCCUGAUCCAGCGAUGCCGCGUGAGUGAUGACGGCCUUAGGGUUGUAAAGCUCUUUUCUCCGGGACAAUAAUGACGGUACCGGAGGAAUAAGCCCCGGCUAACUUCGUGCCAGCAGCCGCGGUAAUACGAAGGGGGCUAGCGUUGCUCGGAAUCACUGGGCGUAAAGGGCGCGUAGGCGGCUGAUUUAGUCGAGGGUGAAAGCCCGUGGCUCAACCACGGAAUGGCCUUCGAUACUGGUUGGCUUGAGACCGGAAGAGGACAGCGGAACUGCGAGUGUAGAGGUGAAAUUCGUAGAUAUUCGCAAGAACACCAGUGGCGAAGGCGGCUGUCUGGUCCGGUUCUGACGCUGAGGCGCGAAAGCGUGGGGAGCAAAC